rnacentral:rRNA from 1 species
UACAGAGGUCUCAAGCGUUGUUCGGAUUCAUUGGGCGUAAAGGGUGCGUAGGCGGCGCGGUAAGUCGGGUGUGAAAUCUCGGAGCUUAACUCCGAAACUGCAUUCGAUGCUGCCGUGCUUGAGGACUGGAGAGGAGACUGGAAUUUACGGUGUAGCGGUGAAAUGCGUAGAUAUCGUAAGGAAGACCAGUGGCGAAAGCGGCUCACUGGACCACAACUGACGCUGAGGCACGAAAGCUAGGGGAGCAAACAGG